CAGCUAUUUUAAAUUUGACAUAUUUUACCGUUUCAGGUUGAGAAAUGGAUGGAAAAAUUGGAAGAGUGUGAAACCAAGAGAAAAGUAACAAUCAAAACCAGCAUUGUGUCAAUUCCUUUAUUUGCGGAUUAUGGAGUGCAUAUACGUUGGAAAGGAGCUGCUGAGACAGUUCUAGGAACGAUAUCUUCAUUCGGAUGGUCACCAACAAUCUAUUGAAGAAGAGAAGGCUUGAUUUGUGGUAUUUCUUUGAUGUUAAUACUCCCAAGAUGAAAAGAGAUCUCAUGAAGCAGCUUUGGCGAAGUGCAAGGAGUUAGAAGAACAAUUACGCAUAGUUUGAAUGAGAGCUCAGCUGCUGAUAAUGAGCUUAAGACUAAAAAAGAUUGGCCAAAGAGGAGGAAGCUACACACGAACCGUGCACGACAAGCUGAAUUCUCAUUUAAUUGUAUGUGUGAGUGGGUGCUAGCUAGCUUAUAAUCAUUUAAAAUACUUAAAACGUAAACCAAACUAAAAUAAACACUCAGAAAAGUGUGGUAAUAUCUUAGACUUAUGUGUUGCAACAUGCAUUCACUGUCAACUGACAAGUGAGAGUGAUUUGGAAAAAGCACCACCUCAAGAGAAAAGUGAAUGAGAUUAUCAUAAACAAACACGUAUGUAACACAAAAUUGAUCA